rnacentral:rRNA from 1 species
CAGUAGCCGCGGGAAUACGAAGGGUGCAAGCGUUAAUCGGAAUUACUGGGCGUAAAGGGAGCGUAGGCGGACAUUUAAGUCAGGGGUGAAAUCCCAGAGCUCAACUCUGGAACUGCCCUUGAUACUGGGUGUCUUGAGUGUGAUAGAGGUAUGUGGAACUCCGAGUGUAGAGGUGAAAUUCGUAGAUAUUCGGAAGAACACCAGUGGCGAAGGCGACAUACUGGAUCAUUACUGACGCUGAGGCUCGAAAGCGUGGGGAGCAAACAGGAUUAGAUACCCCUGUAGUCCCUGUCUCUUAUAC